rnacentral:rRNA from 1 species
AUACGGAGGAUGCAAGCGUUAUCCGGAUUUAUUGGGUUUAAAGGGUGCGUAGGCGGAUGAUUAAGCGUGAGGUGAAAUGCCACUGCUCAACAGUGGAACUGCCUCGCGAACUGGUUGUCUUGAAUGCUCCUGCCGUGGGAGGAAUGUGUGGUGUAGCGGUGAAAUGCAUAGAGAUCACACAGAACACCGAUUGCGAAGGCAUCUCACGAAGGGGUGAUUGACGCUGAGGCACGAAAGCGUGGGGAUCAAACAGGAUUAGAUACCCUGGUAGUCCACGCCGUAAACGAUGGGCGCUCGUCGUCGGCGGCAGACAGUCGGCGGCCAAGCGAAAGCGAUAAGCGCCCCACCUGGGGAGUUCGGUCGCAAGGCUGAAACUCAAAUGAAUUGACGGGG